CCUACGGGUGGCUGCAGUGGGGAAUAUUGGACAAUGGGCGAAAGCCUGAUCCAGCCAUGCCGCGUGUGUGAAGAAGGCCUUCGGGUUGUAAAGCACUUUCAGUGGGGAAGAAAGCCUUGGGGCUAAUACCCUCGAGGAAGGACAUCACCCACAGAAGAAGCACCGGCUAACUCCGUGCCAGCAGCCGCGGUAAUACGGAGGGUGCGAGCGUUAAUCGGAAUUACUGGGCGUAAAGCGCGCGUAGGCGGUCUGAUAAGCCGGUUGUGAAAGCCCCGGGCUCAACCUGGGAACGGCAUCCGGAACUGUCAGGCUAGAGUGCAGGAGAGGAAGGUAGAAUUCGCGGUGUAGCGGUGAAAUGCGUAGAGAUCGGGAGGAAUACCAGUGGCGAAGGCGGCCUUCUGGACUGACACUGACGCUGAGGUGCGAAAGCGUGGGUAGCAAACAGGAUUAGAUACCCGGGUAGUC
rnacentral:rRNA from 1 species